rnacentral:rRNA from 1 species
GACGAACGCUGGCGGCGUGCUUAACACAUGCAAGUCGAACGGAAAGGCCCUGCUUUUGUGGGGUGCUCGAGUGGCGAACGGGUGGGUAACACGUGAGUAACCUGCCCUUGACUUUGGGAUAACUUCAGGAAACUGGGGCUAAUACCGGAUAGGAGCUCCUGCUGCAGGGGGGGGGUGGGAAAGUUUCGGCGGUUGGGGAUGGACUCGCGGCUUAUCAGCUUGUUGGUGGGGUAGUGGCUUACCAAGGCUUUGACGGGUAGCCGGCCUGAGAGGGUGACCGGCCACAUUGGGACUGAGAUACGGCCCAGACUCCUACGGGAGGCAGCAGUGGGGAAUAUUGCACAAUGGGCGGAAGCCUGAUGCAGCAACGCCGCGUGCGGGAUGACGGCCUUCGGGUUGUAAACCGCUUUCGCCUGUGACGAAGCGUGAGUGACGGUAAUGGGUAAAGAAGCACCGGCUAACUACGUG